CUAAGCUUCAAAGCCGAUCACCAUUGGAGAUGCUCUAAACGCAUCCUGUUAAACUAUCGGGUUGGGAGGGAUCCCGCACUACUUGGAAGGGAUCCCACCCUACUCUCUCACUCGGUAUAACGCCCGGGAUUCCACCCGCGGUAUUACCAACCAACCAAGAUUUACCAUCGAGUAAAUACUAUUCCCGUUUUUCCUUCUCCACGUGUUUUCUCUCUUCUGAUACCUGGACACAGUUUCGGAGAGUUCUCAGCACAUUUUUAGUCGUCUACAUCUGAAAGAACGAAAAAACCUAAUUAUUUCUUCGAUGAUGGUCAAAAUAAAGAGAAAACUAUGAUUCUGUAAGCAUAUCUUUUAUUGGGCGAGAAAGAUGUUGAUGGGUCUAGUAACAUUACAGGGAUUAUUUGAUAUAAUUGUUGCGGGUAUUUCCUUAAUAAUCGGGUUGGGUAUUUUCGCAUUGAUUUCUUCGGUCCUUUGUUCUAUAGCUUUCUAUCACUAUUCCAAGGAUGUCUCCUAACAAGUGUGGAGCAGUGGAAUUUUAUGACUGUGCUGGUCGUCUUGUUUAAUCCAUGAGUACUCCGGGCAGAGAUCUCUAAAUCACCAGGUAGUUUAAUUGGUCUGCCGGAUGAUUGUGCUUAUUGGUUGACUGUAUAUAUUGCUCGAGCUUUUACUGAAGGUGUUUAUGAGUAUUCCAUGAAGAAUUUUACUGAAACAGGUGUUUUAGUCUAAAGCAUAACUAGUUAUGCUCCUAGAAGGGGAGUUCAAUUUGUUUCUCUGUUUCAUUUUCAACCGCAACUAUGGAAUUUUGUAAUUGAGAAGUGAAACUCCAGGUGUUGAGAAAUAUGUUCUGAUGUUGCUUAUUGUAAAACCUUCCCAGAUGGCAGAUAUUAUUGAAUGCAUUUGAUUUGUAAUU